AGAUGUGAGGGCUAUCUGGCUGUGAUAUCUGUCACCACAUUGAUAUCCAGGGUUGAUUUAGCUGAAUUGGCUGGCUAGGCAGGUGUCCCCUUCCUCCCUUACCACUCCAUGUGCAUCCGUCCUGAAGCUGUGCACUUGGAUGCACACUGAAGAGGACCACUGAAGAGGACAACCAUCCCCAAUAGAGGAGGACCAGUCUUCAGUCAAGAGUAUAUAAGUAGCUGCAGUCUCCUGCUAGAACCUCCAAACAAGCUCUCAAGGUCCACUUGUAGGGGAACAUAGGAUAGUCAAGCUUCCAAGACUCUGGAUGCAUCCAUAUGAGGUGCUGCAUUGGUGAGUUUUGAAUUUUUAUAU
rnacentral:snRNA from 1 species